GUUAGGUUCCUUUAAAAUUACUUUUACAUCUUAACACCAGGUCUAGAUGAAGAGGAUGCAUAUGCAGAUGAAAUUAAUCCUAGUAUGGUUAUUAAUGCUGAAGAGUUGCAGAAAGUAGAUGAAAUAUGAUCAGCAGCAAAUUCAGCUGCACCAAUUCAAGGCAGCAGGGCUUCAGCAGCACCAUGUCCAAGCAGCAGUACUUCAGAUAGAGAGCCCCUUAUUUGUGACAAGUCUUCAAAACCUCAAAAUGAACUAGUCAACCAUUUCACAAAAAUGCCACAGAAAAGUCUUAAAGAGCUACAAAUGGAGUUCUACACAGUCUCUAUACAAAAUGAGAGGGAAAAGUUCAAACUCAUACAAGAACAGAUUGCCUUAUGCAGAGAACUUAGAGAGAACAUUCCGAAGUUGUCCUUAGUCUUGGAUGCAUUGUGUACAAAAAAAGAUGAAGAGUGACUUUUAUAUUGACUUGAAUACAUUGUUUGCUUGUUUGACAAUUUAAAUUUUAUCUGUACUUGUUUCAGUAUAAGCUGAAGUGCUCAACAUCAAUAAAAAUCUGCUGUAAUCAGAUACUUCUGUGUUUGUCAAAACUAUUCAAUGAGUUAGUGAUGAAUUGAAUAAGCGAAAGAAACAAGCAAUGAAACAAUUUUCAAAUUUUAUUUCCUUGUAAUGCAAUAUGCUGUAUGCAUAGCAGAAAUCAAAGUCACUCCAGAACAUGUUAAGAAUAGGUGUUGGUCACGUAAUUUCUGACUCCACGACCAUCCUGAGGUCCCUGGUAUUGGUCUGGAUGUGGCUGCUCAUCAUCAUCCUGAGGCUCCUGUGGCUCAGGUUCAUUCCAAAGUAUGGCCAGGUUAUGGAGGACUGCACAGGCCACAAUCACUCUACUGACCUUUGCUGGUUUCAUUCGAACCUAAAUGUACAAUUUCAAUUGUUCAUUAAUCAUUAUUUUGAUCUUAAAACACAAAUCUAUAGUAUUGCGUUAUAAGCAGGCAGGCAGAAAGUUCUGAAAGUUUAACCCUAUUAAACAAGUAGUUCAAAGAUAAAUACAUUUUUUUACAGAAAAUAUUCUAAACCACAAAAUAAUGAUAAUGUUGUUUAGCAUUUCUCCUGAAAAAAAGUCAUGACUCGAACAUUGAGUAGACUGAGGACUCUUUUUCACAUUACCUUUAUAGAAAUAUUAAUUAUUCAGU
rnacentral:lncRNA from 1 species